UGAUUUUUCGAGGACACAUUUUAUAACCCAGGUACACCGAAAACGGUACACUGUCAAAGUGACAGUGUACUUUGAUGAAAAAACACAAAAACUGGCAAUGCUGACGACCUGACGGCUGUUUCUUUGGCAACGUUGAUUUGUUUCAAGGUUCAUUGUCAUGAUGGGUACAAAACAGAAAGAGAUUAGAAAAUGAAAAAAUGGCCGAGAGACGAUAUUUGGAACGUGUGUCGAUAUAGGUGUGCUAAACCUCAACACAUUGGAAUCAAAUAGAAGAAAUUCGCUAGGGAGGAGGAACCACUGCGAACCGGGAGAUAUCGUGUAAUCGUCCAAAGGAAACCCUAACCUAAGACAUCCUAACGUGCAGUUCAGGUCAAAAACAAUGUCAGUGCUUGAUUGUUGAUUAUAGCAGAAAAGGUCAAGUUCGUCGCAGAUAUGGAAGCAGACGAAAAGUUGCCAGAGCAGGCUCGAACAUAAACGACCGUGGAGUAUUUGCAGGAGGCGAAUGUUAGUCUUAAGUGGAAUAAAAAUUGAUUACAAUUGACAUAAACUAACAAAUGGGAGCCAGGAUUUAGCUACUGGUAAAGUUAGGAAUAGACAACCAGCGAUUUCGAUUGGAAAGAUUGAUUUGUAAAGACGUAGAUUUAACGUUAUUUUAACACAUGACUGAAAAAAUGAUAAUAAAUGUAUCGGAUACGUCUUCACUGCCA